UGCCCUGAAGAAAGAAAGUGAAGACACGGGGCAAGUGCAAGACCAGAGGGCAGCGCAAAAGCACGGGGCAGCUGCAAGAUGCCGGGCAGGCUGCGCGUGGUGAGGGACGGUUCCCGCCGGCCGCAGAGGCGGGAAGGAGGGACCACGCCCUGAGGGAGCAGCCGCUGCCAUCUUGGCCGGUGGUGAGGGGCUGGCCCCUGCUGGUGAGCAAGUUAAGAGUCGCGUGUGGAAACUUUUGCACAGCAGUUUGGAGGCUGGGUAGAGAAAAGAUGAAGACCUCUCUCCUCAGAUGCAAACAUUUCUGAGGAAGAAGAGCGUUCCGGCUUGGCGAGAGUUACCUGCCUUGCACCCAGCAGAUACAAACAGAGUCAUCAUCUUUGGAAGAAGUUGUCACAUUGCAGUCCAGAUCUGCGAGUGGACCUGUCUUUGGUGGCAGUGGUGUCUUAUCUCCCGUGAGUUAGCAUCAGAUGAAGCUUGCUGACAGCAUAAUGGCAGGGAAAACCUCCGACGGCUCCAUCAAAUGGCAGCUCUGCUACGACAUCUCGGCCAGAACUUGGUGGAUGGUUACGGGGCUGCGCUGACCUGGAGCCAUGUGUCACAGAUCCCACUGAGCCCGGCUCACACUGCUUUGGGGCGCAAUUAAAGUUUCAAUAAAGUCCCAUCGUGCUCCGUAGAACGAGUUAACUAGCAUGUCAUGGUCAGCCGGGCCAGACAACCUUUGACAUCUUGAAUCUAUAAGAGGUAGGGUGAGUUGGGAGGAUGCACAAUAGCCCAUUGUGGCAGAAGAUGCAAGUCCUGUUGCGAGGAAGAGAGUCCUCAAAUCAUUACUGCCCUCGUUAGCGUGUUGUCCGUUAGGGAUUAAUUCGUUAGCAGCGCAUUUUUAGUUUUCUGUAAUUAUUAUUCUUGUGGCAAGCGUGAAUUCUUCCAGUGAGAGGAAAAGUUUGCUGCCAGGACAAUGAAUGUAUUAUCCGCUCCUAACUGGACCGUGAACCUCAGCUCGUUUCACAUAGAUAUCAGUUAAAAAAGGACCGGCGAGUGGAAUUACAAAACAAGGCAUGAUCACUUUCAUUGUAUGAUACGCUGAAACAAGCCGGGUCUCUCCCUCCCCCUCGCCGCCCCGGACCAAUUUUGGUAUCAUUUGGAAAGUUUAAGACCUCUGAGGACUUGAAAGACUUUUAAAAGUGAGAUCCGGAAGGUUUUUAUUCUGCAGCUUGGUGGUGGCCAUUGUGUGUAUCAUGUGGCUUGUAUUUAAAGGUGUUUGGGCUCGGGUUUGUCAGUUUUGUUUUGUCUAAAGUCUUAAUUUUUUAACCGGCUAUUAGAGGUUUGCCAGCGGUUGCCAGUGAAAUGUAACAUGCAGCUUUUGGUUAACAAGGAUAGGGGAGGCUAACCACUUUCUUAUAGUACUGAUUUUCCAAUUAGACUUUCUGCCAGGGGAAGUUGGAGGGGGAAGGGGUAUUUGCAUGCACAUAAACUGCUGACUAUUCAUGUGACUUUUUUUUAGCUUGUUAAACCCUUGUAAAUAAGACUAUUGAAUCUCAGUUAUCAUUUUCAAAGCAAAGUUUUAGCCUGCCUGUUUUAACCUCACCGUCUGUCUCGUGCUGUGAUUUUGCCUUAUUCUAAGCUAUCUGUAUAUUUUAUUACUGCUCCUCUUUUAUUGUCUAUCGGCUGCUUUUAUGAUGAGGUACGUCAAUGUUUAUUAUUUAAUAAGUAUCCUCGAAUGCUACUAGGCAGUUAUUGUCACCCUUCAGAAAGGACCCGAGGAAGUUUCAUUGCAGUCACAUUUAUUUCGCAGAUGUUUUAGUACCGUGAAUAUAAUAUGUAAAAAUGCUGGAAACAUUUAGUAAUGCACUUGCCUAAAAAUAAACAGUUUUAUAACCACACAUGCUGUUGUUUAGAUUAAACAUUGCCGAAAAGUUCUUCUUAAACUUGAACGUCACACCAUUUAUUUUCUGAGAGAACAAAACCCCCGCUAAAAUAGCCUUGUUUUUGUGGCAGGAGUUGCGCUGGAUGAAAGAGAUGUUAUUUUUAACCAAAAUGAAUAAUUCAAGAUCUUUACAAUAGAUGCGUUAAUUGCAAAUAAUUUUCAUACAAAGUUUCAAUUAUUGA